rnacentral:SRP_RNA from 1 species
GCUGGGCAUGGUGGCGCAUGCCUGUAAUCCUAGCUACUCAGGAGGCUGAGGCAGAAGAAUCACUUGAACCUGGGAGGCAGAGGUUGCAGUGAGCUGAGAUCGUGCCACUGCACUCCAGCCUGAGCAACAGAGUGAGACUCUGUCUCAA